GCGUUGGUGGGGUAAGGGUAACCUUGUUCAUUCCCAUGUGGAAAUAUGUGCAGCUCCGGGUUCGAUUCCCGGCCAACGCA